GCUAGGCACAGUGGUGCAUGCCUGAAAUCCCAGUGGCUUGGGAGGCUGAGGCAGGAGGAUAGUCCACCUCAGCAGUUUAGCAUGAUCCUGUCUCAA
rnacentral:sRNA from 1 species